UACGGAGGGUGCAAGCGUUGUCCGGAAUUACUGGGCGUAAAGCGCACGCAGGCGGUCUGUUAAGUCAGAUGUGAAAUCCCCGGGCUUAACCUGGGAACUGCAUUUGAAACUGGCAGGCUUGAGUCUUGUAGAGGGGGGUAGAAUUCCAGGUGUAGCGGUGAAAUGCGUAGAGAUCUGGAGGAAUACCGGUGGCGAAGGCGGCCCCCUGGACAAAGACUGACGCUCAGGUGCGAAAGCGUGGGGAGCAAACAGG
rnacentral:rRNA from 1 species